AUUGAACGCUGGCGGCAGGCCUAACACAUGCAAGUCGAACGAGUGGCGGACGGGUGAGUAAUGUCUGGGAAACUGCCUGAUGGAGGGGGAUAACUCCUGGAAACGGUAGCUAAUACCGCAUACCAUCGGAUGUGCCCAGAUGGGAUUAGCUAGGAGGUGGGGUAAAGGCUACACUAGGCGACGGUCCCUAGCUGGUCUGAGAGGAUGACCCGCCACAAUGGAACUGAGACACGGUCCAGACUCCUUCGGGAGGCAGGCGGUGGGAAUAUUGCACAAUGGGCGGAAGCCUUAUGCAGCCAGGCCGGGUGUAUUAAAGAUGCCCUCGGGUUGUAAAGUACUUUCAGCGGGGAGGCGUUACCCGCAGAAGAAGCACCGGCUAACUCCGUGCCAGCAGCCGCGGUAAUAC
rnacentral:rRNA from 1 species